UAUAUAGUGCUCAUAACCUUCCCAAUUAGAUGAUUUACCCCAUCUAAUAUGUUAUGAGCACUUAUAA
rfam:Marine metagenome ctg_1101667512334, whole genome shotgun sequence.